rnacentral:rRNA from 1 species
GACGAACGCUGGCGGCGUGCUUAACACAUGCAAGUCGAACGGAAAGGCCCUGCUUUUGUGGGGUGCUCGAGUGGCGAACGGGUGAGUAACACGUGAGUAACCUGCCCUUGACUUUGGGAUAACUUCAGGAAACUGGGGCUAAUACCGGAUAGGAGCUCCUGCUGCAUGGUGGGGGUUGGAAAGUUUCGGAGGUUGGGGAUGGACUCGCGGCUUAUCAGCUUGUUGGUGGGGUAGUGGCUUACCAAGGCUUUGACGGGUAGCCGGCCUGGGAGGGUGACCGGCCACAUUGGGACUGAGAUACGGACCAGACUCCUACGGUAGGCAGCAGUGGGGAAUAUUGCACAAUGGGCGGAAGCCUGAUGCAGCAACGCCGCGUGCGGGAUGACGGCCUUCGGGUUGUAAACCGCUUUCGCCUGUGACGAAGCGUGAGUGACGGUAAUGGGUAAAGAAGCACCGGCUAACUACGUG